GCAGCUUGUGGCGAGCUGUUGGGGAGUAACGACCCCACGGACCCGAGUGCUCCAGAGAGUCGGUCAGGUGGAACCCCAAGGGGACCCGCAGGACUCUCGGCUCUGGCUUGCCUUCAUUGGCCGUCCAGAGAGGAGUCGUUAGAGCUAUAUGCUCCAGGGGUGGAAGUGAAAUUUGCGUAAGCGCGAGUUGGCACAGUGGCUGUUUACAGCCACUGGGUAGAAAGCGGUGUACACCUCUCGACACCCCUGAGCCGCUCACACCGAUGUUGCGCCUGGUCGUCUUUACGACGACAGUUUCAGGGGCCCAUCUAGUCAGCGGCGAGUCACCACCUGCCUCGAUAACGUGUGUUAGCAUUGUUA